AAUGAACGCUGGCGGCGUGCCUAACACAUGCAAGUCGUACGAGAAAGGGGCUUCGGCCCUGAGUAGAGUGGCGCACGGGUGAGUAACGCGUGGGUAAUCUACCCUUGGAUUUGGGAUAACUCUGCGAAAGUGGAGCUAAUACCGGAUAGUCUGGCUUUAAAUAAGAAGUCGGUAAAGGAUGCCUCUGCAUAUGCAUUCGUCCGAGGAUGAGCCCGCGUCUCAUUAGCUAGUUGGUAGGGUAAUGGCCUACCAAGGCAACGAUGAGUAGCUGGUCUGAGAGGAUGAUCAGCCACACUGGAACUGAAACACGGUCCAGACUCCUACGGGAGGCAGCAGUGGGGAAUAUUGCGCAAUGGGCGAAAGCCUGACGCAGCAACGCCGUGUGAGGGAUGAAGGCUUUCGGGUCGUAAACCUCUGUCGGAAGGGAA
rnacentral:rRNA from 1 species